UGGGGAAUAUUGGACAAUGGGCGCAAGCCUGAUCCAGCAAUGCCGCGUGUGUGAAGAAGGCCUUCGGGUUGUAAAGCACUUUUAUCAGGAGCGAAACGCUGUCGGCUAAUACCCGGCGGAACUGACGGUACCUGAGGAAUAAGCACCGGCUAACUUCGUGCCAGCAGCCGCGGUAAUACGAAGGGUGCAAGCGUUAAUCGGAAUUACUGGGCGUAAAGCGUGCGUAGGCGGUUUCUUAAGUCUGCUGUGAAAUCCCCGGGCUCAACCUGGGAAUGGCAGUGGAUACUGGGAGGCUAGAGUGUGUCAGAGGGUGGUGGAAUUCCCGGUGUAGCGGUGAAAUGCGUAGAGAUCGGGAGGAACAUCAGUGGCGAAGGCGGCCACCUGGGACAACACUGACGCUGAGGCACGAAAGCGUGGGGAGCAAACAGGAUUAGAUACCCUGGUAGUCCACGCCCUAAAACGAUGCGAACUGGAUGUUGGUCUCAACUCGGAGAUCAGUGUCGAAGCUAACGCGUUAAGUUCGCCGCCU
rnacentral:rRNA from 1 species